UACAGAGACUGCAAGCGUUAUUCGGAUUCACUGGGCGUAAAGGGUGCGCAGGCGGCCGUGUGUGUUAGGCGUGAAAGCCUGAGGCUUAACCUCAGAAUUGCACCUAAAACUACACGGCUAGAGUACUGGAGAGGGUAGCGGAAUUCACGGUGUAGCAGUGAAAUGCGUAGAUAUCGUGAGGAACACCAAUGGCGAAGGCAGCUACCUGGACAGUUACUGACGCUCAGGCACGAAAGCGUGGGGAG
rnacentral:rRNA from 1 species